rnacentral:rRNA from 1 species
UACGGGGGGGGCAAGCGUUGUUCGGAAUUACUGGGCGUAAAGGGUCUGUAGGUGGCCAACUAAGUCAGACGUGAAAUCCCUCGGCUUAACCGGGGAACUGCGUCUGAUACUGGAUGGCUAGAGGUUGGGAGAGGGAUGCGGAAUUCCAGGUGUAGCGGUGAAAUGCGUAGAUAUCUGGAGGAACACCGGUGGCGAAGGCGGCAUCCUGGACCAAUUCUGACGCUGAGGAGCGAAAGCCAGGGGAGCAAACGGG